CCCCUCUCAGGGUGGCACCUGGAGGGUUUCCGGCACCCCGCCACUCUCGGCUACGGGAGGGAGAGUCAAGCGGAGGCCUACCCAUUCCAUUCCUAGCUUGCCCCGUGGCUAGCGAGUGGAAGGCAAUCUGCUACAAGU